GCUGGGAUAGCUCAGUUAGCAGAACACAAGACUCUGAAUCUCAAGGCCGUGGGAUCGAGCCCCACAUUGGGCA